CUCCUGGGUAUAAAUAGAGAUGCUUUGGGGUAGUCGGUCUUUUGGAGCUACUCUACCAUUCAGCGCUGUUUGAGUUGAUUCAUGAUUCCAAAUACUUCUUGCUUGGGAGAAGAAGAGCAAUAUUCAACUUCAGCUGGUAACCUGAUAACUUGGUUUGGGAUCCUUUAAUAAGAGUUUGAAAAUCAUCUCUUAACGGAAUUUGCGUUCCUAGACAAUUGUUAUCCCAGAUUUAAACCUUGACUGCUGACAGAGGCUACCCAGUUCACCAAGUAUUCCUGGAAAUUAAGGAAUUUAAGAAAGCACGGGGGGGGGUGAAGUUAAAAUUUGUCAUGGUGACUAAGAAUAUUUGGCAUUUUCCAAAUUCCAAACAAGACCAGUCAUGUUUUCUAACAAAU